rnacentral:tRNA from 1 species
UCCCUGAUGAUCGAGUGGCUAAGAUUCCACACUCUCAAUGUGGGGGGCCUGGGUUCAAUCCUGUUCAGAGAA